rnacentral:rRNA from 1 species
AUAUCAAUAAGCGGAGGAAAAGAAACCAACAGGGAUUGCCCCAGUAACGGCGAGUGAAGCGGCAACAGCUCAAAUUUGAAAUCUGGCCCCUAGGGCCCGAGUUGUAAUUUGCAGAGGAUGCUUUUGGCGAGGUGCCUUCCGAGUUCCCUGGAACGGGACGCCAUAGAGGGUGAGAGCCCCGUCUGGUUGGAUGCCGAGCCUCUGUAAAGCUCCUUCGACGAGUCGAGUAGUUUGGGAAUGCUGCUCUAAAUGGGAGGUAUAUGUCUUCUAAAGCUAAAUACCGGCCAGAGACCGAUAGCGCACAAGUAGAGUGAUCGAAAGAUGAAAAGCACUUUGAAAAGAGGGUUAAAUAGUACGUGAAAUUGUUGAAAGGGAAGCACUUAUGACCAGACUUGGACCCGGUGAAUCAUCCAGCGUUCUCGCUGGUGCACUUUGCCGGGCUCAGGCCAGCAUCAGUUUGCCUCGGGGGAUAAAGGCUUUGGGAAUGUGGCUCCCUCGGGAGUGUUAUAGCCCAUUGCACAAUACCCUGGGGCGGACUGAGGUUCGCGCAUCUGCAAGGAUGCUGG